GCCCUCGUAGCUCAGGGGAUAGAGCGUCUGCCUCCGGAGCAGAAGGCCGCAGGUUCGAUUCCUGCCGAGGGCAC
rnacentral:tRNA from 13 species